rnacentral:rRNA from 1 species
GCGGAGUAUUGGACAAUGGGCGCAAGCCUGAUCCAGCCAUGCCGCGUGCAGGAUGAAGCAUCUAUGGUGUGUAAACUGCUUUUAUACGGGAAGAAACCCUGGCUCGUGAGCCAGACUGACGGUACCGUAGGAAUAAGGAUCGGCUAACUCCGUGCCAGCAGCCGCGGUAAUACGGAGGAUCCAAGCGUUAUCCGGAAUCAUUGGGUUUAAAGGGUCCGUAGGCGGCCCUGUAAGUCAGUGGUGAAAUCUUCCGGCUCAACCGGGAAAUUGCCAUUGAUACUGCAGGGCUUGAAUUAUUGGGAAGUAACUAGAAUAUGUAGUGUAGCGGUGAAAUGCUUAGAUAUUACAUGGAAUACCGAUUGCGAAGGCAGGUUACUAGCAAUACAUUGACGCUGAUGGACGAAAGCGUGGGUAGCGAAC